UACGUAGGGACCAAGCGUUGUUCGGAUUUACUGGGCGUAAAGGGCGCGUAGGCGGCAAUUCAAGUCAGCUGUGAAAUCUCCGGGCUUAACUCGGAACGGUCAGCUGAUACUGCUUUGCUAGAGUGCAGAAGGGGCAAUCGGAAUUCUUGGUGUAGCGGUGAAAUGCAUAGAUACCUUGCAGAACUCCGAUUGCGAAGGCAGUCCGCUAGGCUUUAACCGACGCUCAGGCACGAAAGCGUGGGGAUCAAACAGG
rnacentral:rRNA from 1 species